rnacentral:rRNA from 1 species
GACGAACGCUGGCGGCGUGCUUAACACAUGCAAGUCGAACGGAAAGGCCCUGCUUUUGUGGGGUGCUCGAGUGGCGAACGGGUGAGUAACACGUGAGUAACCUGCCCUUGCCUUUGGGAUAACUUCAGGAAACUGGGGCUAAUACCGGAUAGGAGCUCCUGCUGCAUGGUGGGGGCUGGAAAGUUUCGGCGGUUGGGGAUGGACUCGCGGCUUAUCAGCUUGUUGGUGGGGUAGUGGCUUACCAAGGCUUUGACGGGUAGCCGGCCUGAGAGGGUGACCGGCCACAUUGUCACUGAGGUACGGCCCAGGCUGCUACGGGAGGCAGCAGUGGGGAAUAUUGCACAAUGGGCGGAAGCCUGAUGCAGCAACGCCGCGUGCGGGAUGACGGUCUUCGGGUUGUAAACCGCUUUCGCCUGUGACGAAGCGUGAGUGACGGUAAUGGGUAAAGAAGCACCGGCUAACUACGUG